AUUGAACGCUGGCGGCAGGCCUAACACAUGCAAGUCGAAUGGUAACAGGGAACAGCUUGCUGUUUCGCUGACGAGUGGCGGACGGGUGAGUAAUGUCUGGGAAACUGCCUGAUGGAGGGGGAUAACUACUGGAAACGGUAGCUAAUACCGCAUAACGUCGCAAGACCAAAGAGGGGGACCUUCGGGCCUCUUGCCAUCAGAUGUGCCCCGAUGGGAUUAGCUAGUAGGUGGGGUAACGGCUCACCUAGGCGACGAUCCCUAGCUGGUCUGAGAGGAUGACCAGCCACACUGGAACUGAGACACGGUCCAGACUCCUACGGGAGGCAGCAGUGGGGAAUAUUGCACAAUGGGCGCAAGCCUGAUGCAGCCAUGCCGCGUGUAUGAAGAAGGCCUUCGGGUUGUAAAGUACUUUCAGCGGGGAGGAAGGGAGUAAAGUUAAUACCUUUGCUCAUUGACGUUACCCGCAGAAGAAGCACCGGCUAACUCCGUG
rnacentral:rRNA from 1 species